rnacentral:rRNA from 1 species
CGGGGUGCACCAGGCGCGAAAACUUUACAAUGCCGGCAACGGCGAUAAGGGGACCUCGAGUGCCAGGUUACAAAUCUGGCUGUCGUGAUGCCUAAAAAGCAUUGCAUAGCAAGGGCCGGGCAAGACCGGUGCCAGCCGCCGCGGUAACACCGGCGGCUCGAGUGGUAACCGUUAUUAUUGGGUCUAAAGGGUCUGUAGCCGGCCGGAUAAGUCUCUUGGGAAAUCCAGCAGCUCAACUGUUGGGCUUUCAGGAGAUACUGUCUGGCUCGAGGCCGGGAGAGGUGAGAGGUACUUCAGGGGUAGGGGUGAAAUCUUGUAAUCCUUGAAGGACCACCAGUGGCGAAGGCGUCUCACCAGAACGGACCUGACGGCAAGGGACGAAAGCUAGGGGCACGAACCGGAUUAGAUACCCGGGUAGUCCUAGCCGUAAACGAUACUCGCUAGGUGUCGGCCACGGUGCGACCGUUGUCGGUGCCGUAGGGAAGCCGUGAAGCGAGCCACCUGGGAAGUACGGCCGCAAGGCGGAAACUUAAAGGAA